rnacentral:rRNA from 1 species
CCUACGGGGGGCAGCAGUGGGGAAUAUUGGGCAAUGGGCGCAAGCCUGACCCAGCAACGCCGCGUGAAGGAAGAAGGCUUUCGGGUUGUAAACUUCUUUUCUCAGGGACGAAGCAAGUGACGGUACCUGAGGAAUAAGCCACGUCUAACUACGUGCCAGCAGCCGCGGUAAUACGUAGGUGGCAAGCGUUAUCCGGAUUGACUGGGUGUAAAGGGCGUGUAGGCGGGACUGCAAGUCAGAUGUGAAAAUCACGGGCUCAACCUGUGUACUGCAUUUGAAACUGUAGUUCUUGAGUACUGGAGAGGCAGACGGAAUUCCUAGUGUAGCGGUGAAAUGCGUAGAUAUUAGGAGGAACACCAGUGGCGAAGGCGGUCUGCUAGACAGCAACUGACGCUGAGGCGCGAAAGCGUGGGGAGCAAACAGGAUUAGAUACCCGUGUAGUC